rnacentral:rRNA from 1 species
UACGAGUGGUGCAAGCGUUAUUCGGAAUCAUUGGGCGUAAAGGGUGUGUAGACGGCAUGUUGAAUCAAUUGUUAAAUUCUCCGGCCUAACCGGAGGUCAGCGGUAGAAACUGGCGUGCUCGAGGGUGGAAGAGAGAAUUGGAAUUCUCGGAGUAGCAGUAAAAUGCGUAGAUCUCGAGAGGAACACCAAUGGCGAAGGCAGCUUUUUGGUCCAUUCCUGACGCUGAGGCACGAAAGCAUGGGGAGCAAACAGG